GGGCCCAACCAGCAUGCUCGACGCGAAAGCCUGACGCAGCAAUGCCGCGUGAGUGAUGAAGGCCUUCGGGUCGUAAAGCUCUGUCAGAGGGAAAGAAACUCCCGUCGGUUAAUACCCGGCGGGCCUGACGGUACCCUCAAAGGAAGCACCGGCUAACUCCGUGCCAACAGCCGCGGUAAUACGGAGGGUGCAAGCGUUGUUCGGAAUUAUUGGGCGUAAAGCGCGUGUAGGCGGUUCGUUAAGUCUGAUGUGAAAGCCCUGGGCUUAACCUGGGAAGUGCAUUGGAAACUGGCGAACUUGAGUAUGGGAGAGGAAAGUGGAAUUCCGAGUGUAGGGGUGAAAUCCGUAGAUAUUCGGAGGAACACCAGUGGCGAAGGCGGCUUUCUGGACCAAUACUGACGCUGAGACGCGAAAGCGUGGGGAGCAAACAGGAUUAGAUACCCUGGUAGUCCACCCCGGUAAACGAU
rnacentral:rRNA from 1 species